GCAUUUCUGUCUGACUUGAGGCUGAAAGUGAUCCUCGUUGUACUGGAAGUUCCAGAAAAAGGCAGUUGAACACGACUAGAGCCACACAUGCGAGAUCCCACUACUUGGGAGGCUGAAGCAGGAGGAUUGCCAUAAAUUCAAGGCCAACCUGAGGUUUUUCGUGCAGCUGUUAGAAAAGUUCUUGGAAAUUUUUCGUGGCACACACCUGCAAUCCUAGGAGAGAGGUAGAGACAAGAGGAUGGGAGUUCAAAGUCAUCACUGCGUGCAUAACCUGCUGGAAGCCAGCCUGGGAUUCCAGAAACUCCCCUCAAAAAUCAGAUUCUCCAGUGGGGAGGAUAGCUCAAUGGGCAACAGGAGUCCUGGGGGAAGCCAGAGUGUGGAGGAGGAACAUCAGAUGCUGAUGCUGAUGCUGAGGACAGAGCCUCCGAGACAGAGCCAGCCUCCUCCCAAGCUCACAGGCAGGAGGGAAGAAGAUUCAUCCUGUGAUAUCCAGAUGGACUGAUGGAAGCCAGCCAGUUAGAGGCUCCUGGAGUGGAGAGUGGGGCUGGAUUUCUGCCUGUAAGGAUUUACGCUAGGGCUGCCAGGAAAAUA